rnacentral:pre_miRNA from 1 species
UCCUGCUGCUGCUGCUGCUGCUGCUGCUGCUGCUGCUGCUGCUGCUGCAGUGUAUCUGCAGCAGCAGCAGCAGCAGCAGCAGCAGCAACUGUCUCC